rnacentral:lncRNA from 1 species
UAUUAAUUUAUUGAUUUCAUAUUUGACGCACAACACUUACUACUAAAAAAAUGAGCUAAACCAUUUAAUCAAAUUAAACUACGAGUCCAGUGCAUGAAACUGCUCAUAUUGGUUUCAUUUGACUGAUUUGAAUGUUUCAUCACAGAAGGAUUAAACUUGGAUUAAAAGGAAGAGCAAAAACUAAUUUAGUGAGAACAUCAGCAAACAAACAUUGACAUCCAGUAUCAAGCCAAAGAUAAGUUGGAAGGAUCUAGCAAGCAGCUCCAUCAGCCAACAUUUCUAAUCAACACCGUCACACAAGCCAUCAAGUAACAAAACAAAUUAAACUCUCAAGUCUCAACAGAAAAUGUUAUAUGUGAGAAAGAAAGAAUGAAUUACAUGAAAUGAAAACGUUAAGACAACGGUGUAAUCAACAUAUUACGUAUUGUCACGCCACAAAGUUAAAAUAUCUCUCAAACAAGCAACAUGGAAAUCGCAGGAGCUGUCCACUUUCCAAUACUCGUUGAAGAGAAAAAGCUGAAAGGAACACGUUAACACAUGGACUCCUAAGGAAGACUGACUGUGAUUUCCAAUACUCAUUCCAAAGUGAAAGGACAAGUUUUUUCCACACAAAAAUUUUCAUAAGGAUUUGACGUAACCGAGGAAUGCCGGCUGUCGACUACCUGAUCGGUACACAAAAUGGUACACCACGUGUCACUAUAUAAAUGGUAGAAUAUAUAUGCUAAAAAGUUAAUAACUUAAAAAAUAAAAUUUUCCACUUCUAUAAAAACACAUGCUGUACCGCUUAUGUUAUUGUCACAAUGACAAAUUUCUCGUUCACGAGGUUUACAAUCUUCACGAAGCAGAUAAAUUACUCAAAGGUGCUCUGACACAAGAGACUCUAUUUCGGUUUUUAAUUUUCAAAGAAAACUUGUUUGACAACUCCUAAUUUUUAGUUUUUAAAGAAAUGAAAACUAAAAACUGGUUUCUUGAGCUUUCAAAAUUUAUAUUUUCGGUUUUUAAUUUUAGUUUCUAAUCAACACCAUGACACAAGCCAUCAAGUAACAAAACCAAUAAAAAGUCAACUGAAAACGUUAUAUGUUAAAAAGAACAAUGAAUUACAUGAAACGAGAAUGCCAAAGUAGCCGUGGUCAACCUAUUGCGUGUUGUCACGCCACAAAAUUAAAAUAUACAAUGUGAGGUGGCAACAAAUUUGAGCCCAACCGCUGUAAUGUUUCCGUGCAAUGUAAAUCCCCCUCAAAGAAGCAAAGGAAAUCCUCAUGCAAGAGCUCUCUAGUUUCCAAUACUCGUUCAAGAGGAAAAGCUGAAAGGACAAGUAUUUUCCACAAAACAAGUGGAAGACCGACAAUGGGAAAUUUCCAAGAAACAAAGAUUUUUUAGUAAGUUCCCAACUUUCUUCUAAUAAAAGAUAUUCAUGUCUCUUUGUUUGUUCAGUGAUGCCAAAGCCACCUACUUAUCUUAUUUCUUCACUUAUUUUCAAAUACUCGUUCCAAAGUAUUUUCCACAAAAAAAAAAAGUGGAAGACUGACAAUGAGAAAGUUACCUUGCUGGGACACGUUAUCUUUCUUUGCCUUUUCUUUAAGAGGAAACUAUUUAUGGCACCCACCAUGAAACUUCUAUAUAGGUUUUUUCACACAUCUUUUUGUUAGGUCCGCACUUCUCCAAAGCUUUGGGCCACACAUCUGUUCUAUUAAUCAGACCUGGAAAAAGCAGCAACGGUAGCAAUUCUGCCUCCUCA